UGGGGGAUAUUGCACAAUGGGGGAAACCCUGAUGCAGCAACGCCGCGUGAGUGAAGAAGUAUUUCGGUAUGUAAAGCUCUAUCAGCAGGGAAGAAAAUGACGGUACCUGACUAAGAAGCCCCGGCUAACUACGUGCCAGCAGCCGCGGUAAUACGUAGGGGGCAAGCGUUAUCCGGAUUUACUGGGUGUAAAGGGAGCGUAGACGGCGCUGCAAGUCUGAAGUGAAAGCCCGGGGCUCAACCCCAGGGACUGCUUUGGAAACUGUAAUGCUAGAGUGCCGGAGAGGUAAGCGGAAUUCCUAGUGUAGCGGUGAAAUGCGUAGAUAUUAGGAGGAACACCAGUGGCGAAGGCGGCUUACUGGACGGUAACUGGCGUUGAGGCUCGAAAGCGUGGGGAGCAAACAGGAUUAGAUACCC
rnacentral:rRNA from 1 species